rnacentral:rRNA from 1 species
GACGAACGCUGGCGGCGUGCUUAACACAUGCAAGUCGAGCGAGGCCCCUCCUUCGGGAGGGUGUCCUAGCGGCGAACGGGUGAGUAACACGUGGGCAACCUGCCCUCAGCUCUGGGAUAACUCCGGGAAACCGGGGCUAAUACCGGAUACGACCUCCACGGGCAUCUGCGGAGGUGGAAAGUUUUUCGGCUGAGGAUGGGCCCGCGGCCUAUCAGCUAGUUGGUGGGGUAGUGGCCCACCAAGGCGACGACGGGUAGCCGGCCUGAGAGGGCAACCGGCCACACUGGGACUGAGACACGGCCCAGACUCCUACGGGAGGCAGCAGUGGGGAAUAUUGCGCAAUGGGCGAAAGCCUGACGCAGCGACGCCGCGUGAGGGACGAAGGCCUUCGGGUUGUAAACCUCUUUCAGCAGGGACGAAGCGAAAGUGACGGUACCUGCAGAAGAAGCACCGGCCAACUACGUG